rnacentral:lncRNA from 1 species
GUGCUAAGCUUAGUGCUCUCUCUCCCACCACCAGUGGCAGAGCCACUGUGUGGGGAGAAACACCUUUUUAUCUUGGAGAGGGGCAGCCUUGUUUCUGAGGACAGAUGGGAGCAAAACGGGACAGGUAGGAAGUUUCGUGGUUUCUCGUGUCGCUUCUCCAAAAUAGCCACACUGCUGCCUCCCACUUCCUGCCUGACUCGGCUGGGGUAGAUUUUCUCCUUUAGAGGAUUUGUGUUCUGUGUAUUCCCAGGGAGGCUCGAAGGGAUCUGUUGCCAAAAACAUGCUUGACACUGAAGCCCUGGAGCUUGGCACUGAGGGCCCCAGCUCAGGUUUGGACCACUGGGUUUGCAUCCGGGCUCUGUCUCAUACUGGCUGCGUGACCUUGGGCAAAUGACUUCACUUCUCUGUGCCUCAUCAGUAGGAUGGAGAUAACAACUCUAGCUAUAUCCAGCAGUUACUCUGCAGAUUAAAUGAAUAUGUGUAAAGGGCACAGCCCAGUGUGGGCACAUAGCAACUCUUAAUGAAUCUCUUAAUAAAAAACAGCAAUGUUGUUGUUGAUCUCCAUCCCCUACCUGGAAAACUGUACCAGCCUCCCAGCCACCUUCCCUUUCCCCUGGCUUGCCUGCUCCAGCACAUCCCAGCAUGAUCCGAGAGUGAUAGAAACGUGAAACACAAAUCUGACCCUGCUAUCUGCUGCUUAAAAUCCACCCAUAGCUUCCAGCGUCUAUGGCAGGAAUGAGCAUUCUUUUGCUCUGAAUGGCCAGAUAGUAUUUGAAGCUUUGCCGGGCAUAUAGUCUCUCUUGACUUUGUCAUUGCAGCCUGGAAGCAACCACAGAUAAUAUGUAAAAAAUGGGCGUGGUUGUGUUCCAGUAAAAUUUUAUGUACGAAAACAGGCAGCCGGCUGGAUUUGCCAACCCUUGACCUACAGGAUGAAUCCAGACCCUUAGCUCAGCAUUCCCAGUUCAGCCUGUUCCCGUUAUCUCCAUCCUUCUUCCUCCCCCACCCCUGCUCUUGUGCAGAACAUGUCACACUUUAAUCCUUUGCGUGUGCUGCUCCCUCUUUCUGAGUUUUCCUUCCCUGCCCCCUGAGUGCCCCUUCCCCAUGGCAUUAGGACCUUUACUCUGGGAUUCUGUGGUACCCUGUCUUUAUUUCUACCCUGGUCAUAUAUGCAAGUUCCAUCUGUCUCUCCAUGAGAGGGGCUCCCCUCUAGGCAGGGAUUCGGCCUUCCUCUUCUGUACACCCAGCAGGGUGCUGCUGUAUAGGUUUCUGCAGGUGCUCAGUAAGCAUUUGUUAUUGAACCCAAGGAUCUGCAAGAUGGAUGGUUGGCCUCAGGGAGCUCACAGUCAGCUUAGAAAGCUAGGAUAUGAGCCAGUCAAAAGCCAGCCAGCAAUCCAGGCAGGAAAUGAUGAUGGUCUGUGUGUUUGGCCCUAACUGAUGUCAAGUGGAGAUUCUGAGCUUGAUAGAGGAAGGGCCUCGGGUGGUCCUCGAGGUGCCGCAGGUGGAAGAAGAACAGGCCAAGGCAAAUGCCUCCGGUACCCAGCACUGCCUGGUGCACAGUAGUGGUUGAUCAGUAAUUGUUGAACCAAUCAGGGUUUCUGUUUGCUUGAAGGAAAGGGUAGGAGUGGAGGGUGAGUGACUGGGUGAAUGGGUGCUAUGAGGACAAAGGAGAGUGGAGUUUAGAGGUAGCACUAGUGUCGCAAGCCUGAAGGUUUACCAGAGACAGAGGGGUGAAAAGAUGAGUGGGGCACUAAGCAUAUUGAAUGUGAGAGCUGCUGGAAAUGCAGGAUUGGGGCGUGCUGGGUGGGGCAGGUGAUGUGUGCAGCUGUGGAAGCUGCUACCAAGUCAAGCAUUUUCAGAUGGACAUGCUUAGGCAGGAAGGAACAAGGCUUGGCUCCUGGCCUGGGGAGAGUUAACCUCCUGGCCCGGCAUUGCAUAACCGCAGAGUCUGCUGAGCGCAAGGAGACUCUUCUGUGUGGCAGCCAGAGUGGCAAGCCUGGUGGCUCCGGGCUCUGGCACCAUCCCGCAGCGGAACAAACAGCCCUCCCUUCCCAGAUAAUGGCCCUCAUUGAGCAUUGUGUCCAUGGCCAGCACCCAGCACAGGGCAGCUCAGCCUGGAAUGGAACCAUCUAAGCCCUUGGGACUUGCACCCUCUGUUGAGCUUUGAGAUCAUCUCAGAAAUGGUACUCUCCCUGCAGACUCAGAGCCUUUAGACUCAGGGCUGGUGGCCCUUGACACGCCUCUCUCACCACCAGAUAAUUAUAUUUUCAGGCAGCUGUUCCUUGGGGAGGAAUAUUGAGUGCCGUCCCAUGUGCUAUCUGUUUCUGACCAUUCUGAUUCUGCUGCUGACCUCAGACUGCCCAUGUUGUGGCUACCUCUCCCAUCUGAGUCCCUGCACUGCCCAGUCACAGACAUCUGCUGCCGGACGCCACACUGCCCUGAUGGCUCAGAGCGGCCAGCUCCAACCUGCGUGAUCUCACAGGCAUUGUGGCCUGGGCGUCAGGGUGCUGUGAGAAACACCAGGAAACACUGAUAUUUUUAGUGCAAAUGAUGAAAAACGUUAUGCUAAGUGAAAGAAGCCAGACACAAAAGGACAUAUGGCGGGUGAUUCCAUUUUUAUGAAAUGUCCAGAUAAGGCAAAUUUAUAGAGAUGGAAACUAGAUGAAUUAGUGGCUGCCAGGGGCUGGAGGGAAGGGAAUGUGGAGUGAUUGCUAAUGGGUACAGGAUUUCUUUUCAGAGUGAUACAUGUGUUCUGGAAUUACAUCAUUGGGAUGGUUGCACAACCCUGUGAAUUUUAUGGUAUGUGAAUUGUAUCUCAAUAUUUGAAUAAUCAAAUGACUAGACAGCAUUUAAAGAGUUAUGUUUAUGAGAAAGAUACUCAAAGUUUACACAAUUCUACUCAUUAGCAAAUUAAUACACCCCUUUUUUCAGAAGGAAUUAAAGUGACUUCUGCAAACUAUUAACUGAAGCUUUCCA